GUUUGGAGCUUCAUUGUGUUAGGUGGGUCUUAACUUUGCGGAUGUUAAACGUUCUAGUUUCUGGCCUUCCAGUCUUUGGCAGUUCAGGUCACCCCGAACUGGUUGGGAUGUCUAGGCUAGUCGCGUGCCUUAGCAGGGCCAACCAGAUGAGGAUGGUGGGAUAUUGCACAUUCGGUGCAGGCGUGACCUAAGCUGCUGUUGGAGCUGUUAGGAAAACCUUGGGAGGAUCCUUGGCUCGCAUGCCCUACCUGUGAUGAAGCCCGUGUUGGUAGGGACAUCUGAGAGUGCUGAUGAAUGCCAACGCCUCUGAUGGCAGAGCAUGCAGAGUCACUUACAUAGGCCUUUAUUAGUGACUGCGGCCUCAGCCGGUAGUUGGAAACCACGUUUUUUUUUAAUAACGUCUGCCGUUCUGUGGGGCACAAUUGUUUGCAUGGGUGGGAGAUAACUGGGUGCAAUGCUCUUUUAGACUAGGUGCAUCCUACACCUAGUGGUAUGAAUUAUUUGCGUAGUUGGAGCAAGUGCAUUGAAAGUUUACCCGAAUUUUUCCAUCAGGAUUGGUGCUGAGGAAUGGAUGCAAUGUGGAUUUUGAUGAUGGCAUUUAUGGACAGGUACGAUUAAGGAAAAUGGGAGGGAAAAGUACAUAGAAACCUAUUUUGAUAUUAAGCCUGUGAUGGAAUAAGAGUAGUGGACAGAACGGAUUUCUGAAAGAUAAUUCUGAGGCUUUAUAUAUUUUAUUGGUAAUAUGUGUACUUUGAAAUAGUUACAGGCAGUCUUUUCAGUUAAUUUUUUUUGGUUCUUUCCUAGCUAAGUGCCAAAGGGAGGUGAGAACUGACUGAGGUACUAAAGAGCAAGCCAGUCUCAUGGGCACACAGGUACUGCAUAACAAGAUGAUGAAAGGGAGAAAACAGAUGAAUUGCAUCAGGACCUGUUAUAUUUUUCAACUACGGGGUGCAUAUUUUAGUCUGGACAGCUGUUUGGGUAAGUAUAGGAAGACAGGAGUUUGUCUUCUGACAUUAUACCUUUUGUAUUUCUGAAGUGGGACCUGUUAGUAGGAAUUAAGAAUUGUUAAGUGAAUAAUUGUUAGAGAAUAAUUAAUAAUUUUUUUGUUGAGUCUUAUUUCUGUACUCAGUAAAGGCAGUUGCAUUAAACAUUUUAUAGGUGAAUGCUAUGUUCAAUCUUACAUUGCUCAAACUAGAAAACUGUCUAAAGAUUCAAUAACUUUUUCAGGUCCAGAUUGAGGAUACCUUUUUAAAAAAGGUAAUUUGAUUUACUCAUUUUGAUGUGUUGACAAGCAAGAUGCUGUUGGUGAUGACUUUUAAAAUAAAACAGAUGGGAAUCUCUCUGAAAAAAUGUGA
rnacentral:lncRNA from 1 species